rnacentral:lncRNA from 1 species
AAUAAAUAUAAGCUCCAUCAUCUCCAGUAAGUAAAGUGCCCAGAAAAGAUUUGUCUUCCUUCAAUAUCUGCUGUGCCUUUUCAGAUAGUUUCACAUCGCUGUCUUCGACCAGCCAAGAUGCGUAUCGUGGGAUAGCUGCGGUCAGUAUUAUGUGGCUGGUUUCUGAAUUAAUACUGCCAUCUUUUUCUUUUACGUGUAUCUGUGAUGUUAGGAAUGACUCUGAAAAGACAACAGAUCCCAAACACCCUCUUCCUGUGAGCAAGUCUGGAAUGUCAAACACCAUCAUAGAUGCUGUUUUAAUCAAACUCAGGCUAUCCUCAUUAUUUAAUGGAGUAACUCUUCCAUGAUUAUUCACAGCCUGAAUUUGAAAAGCAACUUUGGAGCGUAGUGCAGUUUUCAUUUGUGUUAAAUGCAGGCUGUCUAACACAGACAUCAGCAUCUGCUCUGCUGCUUCCUUGGCCUUGGAUUCAGUGGAAGUUUUAGCAUAGCACUCAAUGCCAGCAAGCACAGCCUCUACAACAGCAGUAUAUAUUUGCGACAACAGCAUAACUUGUUCGGGUUUCUUGUGUACCUCGUUGUCAUUUCCCAGGAAAGGAAUGUGAGUGGUUCCA